rnacentral:rRNA from 1 species
AUUGAACGCUGGCGGCAUGCCUUACACAUGCAAGUCGAACGGCAGCACGGGAGCAAUCCUGGUGGCGAGUGGCGAACGGGUGAGUAAAGUAUCGGAACGUGCCCAGUCGUGGGGGCUAACGUAGAGAAAGUUACGCCAAUACCGCAUACGAUCUAUGGAUGAAAGCGGGGGAUCGCCAGACCUCGCGCGAUUGGAGCGGCAGAUAUCAGAUUAGGUAGUUGGUGGGGUAAAGGCUCACCAAGCCGACGAUCGGUAGCUGGUCUGAGAGGACGACCAGCCACACUGGGACUGAGACACGGCCCAGACUCCGACGGGAGGCAGCAGUGGGGAAUUUUGGACAAUGGGCGAAAGCCUGAUCCAGCCAUGCCGCGUGCAGGAUGAAGGCCUUCGGGUUGUAAACUGCUUUUGUACGGAACGAAAAGGUUUGGCCUAAUAAGCUGAGCUCAUGACGGUACCGUAAGAAUAAGCACCGGCUAACUACGUGCCAGCCGCCGCGGUAA